rnacentral:rRNA from 1 species
UAGGGAAUCUUCCGCAAUGGGCGAAAGCCUGACGGAGCAACGCCGCGUGAGUGAUGAAGGUCUUCGGAUCGUAAAACUCUGUUAUCAGGGAAGAACAAAUGUGUAAGUAACUGUGCACAUCUUGACGGUACCUGAUCAGAAAGCCACGGCUAACUACGUGCCCGCAGCCGCGGUAAUACGUAGGUGGCAAGCGUUAUCCGGAAUUAUUGGGCGUAAAGCGAGCGCAGGCGGUCAAUUAAGUCUGAUGUGAAAGCCCCCGGCUCAACCGGGGAGGCUCAUUGGAAACUGGUUGACUUGAGUGCAGAAGAGGGGAGUGGAAUUCCAUGUGUAGCGGUGAAAUGCGUAGAUAUAUGGAGGAACACCAGUGGCGAAGGCGACUCUCUGGUCUGUAACUGACGCUGAGGCUCGAAAGCGUGGGUAGCAAACAGG